rnacentral:rRNA from 1 species
UACAGAGGAUGCAAGCGUUAUCCGGAAUGAUUGGGCGUAAAGCGUCUGUAGGUGGCUCUUUAAGUCCGCCGUCAAAUCCCAGGGCUCAACUCUGGACAGGCGGUGGAAACUACCAAGCUUGAGUACGGUAGGGGCAGAGGGAAUUUCCGGUGGAGCGGUGAAAUGCGUAGAGAUCGGAAAGAACACCAACGGCGAAAGCAACUCUGCUGGGCCGACACUGACACUGAGAGACGAAAGCUAGGGGAGCGAAUGGG